rnacentral:rRNA from 1 species
GACGAACGCUGGCGGCGUGCUUAACACAUGCAAGUCGAACGGAAAGGCCCUGCUUUUGUGGGGUGCUCGAGUGGCGAACGGGUGAGUAACACGUGAGUAACCUGCCCUUGACUUUGGGAUAACUUCAGGAAACUGGGGCUAAUACCGGAUAGGAGCUCCUGCUGCAUGGUGGGGGUUGGAAAGUUUCGGCGGUUGGGGAUGGACUCGCGGCUUAUCAGCUUGUUGGUGGGGUAGUGGCUUACCAAGGCUUUGACGGGUAGCCGGCCUGAGAGGGUGACCGGCCACAUUGGGACUGAGAUACGGCCCAGACUCCUACGGGAGGCAGCAGUGGGGAAUAUUGCACAAUGGGCGGAAGCCUGAUGCAGCAACGCCGCGUGCGGGAUGACGGCCUUCGGGUUGUAAACCGCUUUCGCCUGUGACGAAGCGUGAGCGACGGUAAUGGGUAAAGAAGCACCGGCUAACUGCGUG